AUUGAACGCUGGCGGCAGGCCUAACACAUGCAAGUCGAGCGGCAGCGACUUAACUGAACCUUCGGGGAACGUUAAGGGCGGCGAGCGGCGGACGGGUGAGUAAUGCCUGGGAAUAUGCCCUGAUGUGGGGGAUAACUAUUGGAAACGAUAGCUAAUACCGCAUAAUCUCUUCGGAGCAAAGAGGGGGACCUUCGGGCCUCUCGCGUCAGGAUUAGCCCAGGUGGGAUUAGCUUGUUGGUGAGGUAAUGGCUCACCAAGGCAACGAUCCCUAGCUGGUCUGAGAGGAUGAUCAGCCACACUGGAACUGAGACACGGUCCAGACUCCUACGGGAGGCAGCAGUGGGGAAUAUUGCACAAUGGGGGAAACCCUGAUGCAGCCAUGCCGCGUGUGUGAAGAAGGCCUUCGGGUUGUAAAGCACUUUCAGUAGGGAGGAAGGUAGUGUAGUUAACACCUGCAUUAUUUGACGUUACCUACAGAAGAAGCACCGGCUAACUCCGUGCCAGCAGCCGCGGUAAUACGGAGGGUGCGAGCGUUAAUCGGAAUUACUGGGCGUAAAGCGCAUGCAGGCGGCCUGUUAAGUCAGAUGUGAAAGCCCGGGGCUUAACCUCGGAAUUGCAUUUGAAACUGGCAGGCUAGAGUCUUGUAGAGGGGGGUAGAAUUUCAGGUGUAGCGGUGAAAUGCGUAGAGAUCUGAAGGAAUACCAGUGGCGAAAGGCGGCCCCCUGGACAAAGACUGACGCUCAGAUGCGAAAGCGUGGGGAGCAAACAGG
rnacentral:rRNA from 1 species